AUACGUAGGGUGCGAGCGUUGUCCGGAAUUACUGGGCGUAAAGAGCUCGUAGGUGGUUUGUCGCGUCGUCUGUGAAAUUCCGGGGCUUAACUCCGGGCGUGCAGGCGAUACGGGCAUAACUUGAGUACUGUAGGGGAGACUGGAAUUCCUGGUGUAGCGGUGAAAUGCGCAGGUAUCAGGAGGAACACCGGUGGCGAAGGCGGGUCUCUGGGCAGUAACUGACGCUGAGGAGCGAAAGCAUGGGUAGCGAACAGGAUUAGAUACCCUGGUAGUCCAUGCCGUAAACGGUGGGCGCUAGGUGUAGGGGUCUUCCACGACUUCUGUGCCGUAGCUAACGCAUUAAGCGCCCCGCCUGGGGAGUACGGCCGCAAGGCUAAAACUCAAAGGAAUUGACGGGG
rnacentral:rRNA from 1 species